rnacentral:rRNA from 1 species
CCCGCACAAGCGGUGGAUGAUGUGGAUUAAUUCGAUGCAACGCGAAAAACCUUACCUACCCUUGACAUGUCGAGAACUUUUCAGAGAUGGAUUGGUGCCCGAAAGGGAACUCGAACACAGGUGCUGCAUGGCUGUCGUCAGCUCGUGUCGUGAGAUGUUGGGUUAAGUCCCGCAACGAGCGCAACCCUUGUCAUUAGUUGCUACGAAAGGGCACUCUAAUGAGACUGCCGGUGACAAACCGGAGGAAGGUGGGGAUGACGUCAAGUCCUCAUGGCCCUUAUAGGUGGGGCUACACACGUCAUACAAUGGCUGGUACAAAGGGUUGCCAACCCGCGAGGGGGAGCUAAUCCCAUAAAGCCAGUCGUAGUCCGGAUCGCAGUCUGCAACUCGACUGCGUGAAGUCGGAAUCGCUAGUAAUCGUGGAUCAGAAUGUCACGGUGAAUACGUUCCCGGGUCUUGUACACACCGCCCGUCACACCAUGGGAGCGGGUUCUGCCAGAAGUAGUUAGCCUAACCGCAAGGAGGGCGAUUACCACGGCAGGGUUCGUGACUGGGGUGAAGUCGUAACAAGGUAGCCGUAUCGGAAGGUGCGGCUGGAUCACCUCCUUUCUG